GAUGAACGCUGGCGGCGUGCCUAAUACAUGCAAGUCGAGCGAACAGACGAGGAGCUUGCUCCUCUGACGUUAGCGGCGGACGGGAGAGUAACACGUGGAUAAUCUACCUAUAAGACGGGGAAAACCUCGGGAAACCGGAGCUAAUACCAGAUAAUAUACUGAUCCGCGGGGUGGAAUAGUGAAAGACGGCUGUGCUGUCACUUAUAGAGGGAUCUGCGCCGCAUUAGCUAGUUGGGAAGGUAACGGGUUACGAAGGCAACGAUGCGUAGCCGACCGGAGAGAGUGAUCGGCCACACUGGAACUGGGCCGCCGUCCUGACUCCUACGGGAGGCCGCAGUAGGGAAUCUUCCGCAAUGGGCGAAAGCCUGACGGAGCAACGCCGCGUGAGUGAUGAAGGUCUUCGGAUCGUAAAACUCUGUUAUUAGGGAAGAACAAAUGUGUAAGUAACUAUGCACGUCUUGACGGUACCUAAUCAGAAAGCCACGGCUAACUACGUG
rnacentral:rRNA from 1 species